UACGUAGGUGGAGAGCGUUAUCCGGAUUUACUGGGUGUAAAGGGCGCGUAGGCGGGGAUGCAAGUCAGAUGUGAAAUCCAUGGGCUCAACCCAUGAACUGCAUUUGAAACUGUAUUUCUUGAGUGCUGGAGAGGUAGCCGGAAUUCCCUGUGUAGCGGUGAAAUGCGUAGAUAUAAGGAAGAACACCAGUGGCGAAGGCGGUCUACUGGACAGUAACUGACGCUGAGGCGCGAAAGCGUGGGGAGCGAAC
rnacentral:rRNA from 1 species